AGAGUUUGAUCCUGGCUCAGAACGAACGCUGGCGGCAGGCCUAACACAUGCAAGUCGAACGCACCGCAAGGUGAGUGGCGCACGGGUGAGUAACACGUGGGAAUGUACCCUUUGGUUCGGAAUAACGUUUGGAAACGAACGCUAAUACCGGAUGAGCCCUGCGGGGGAAAGAUUUAUCGCCAAAGGAGCAGCCCGCGUCUGAUUAGCUAGUUGGUGGGGUAAAGGCCUACCAAGGCGACGAUCAGUAGCUGGUCUGAGAGGAUGAUCAGCCACACUGGGACUGAGACACGGCCCAGACUCCUACGGGAGGCAGCAGUGGGGAAUAUUGGACAAUGGGCGCAAGCCUGAUCCAGCCAUGCCGCGUGAGUGAUGAAGGCCUUCGGGUUGUAAAGCUCUUUCGCACGCGACGAUGAUGACGGUAGCGUGAGAAGAAGCCCCGGCUAACUUCGUG
rnacentral:rRNA from 1 species